UGGUGGAGUGAUUUGUCUGGUUAAUUCCGUUAACGAACGAGACCUUAACCUGCUAAAUAUGCCGCGCUAACCCGUCCAUCAAAACCUAUGUGUGACUCACGCGGUUCGCUGCACACUAAUGUUGCCCGUUAAACGGUGAUGUUAGGGUGCCGGCAGGGCCCGGGUUCAUAUAGGCGGUAGGGUUCGGCGUCUGUGCUUCUUAGAGGGACUGCUGCGCGCCUAGCCAGCGGAAGUUUGAGGCAAUAACA
rnacentral:rRNA from 1 species